UGGACUUGGAGGCUGAGUUCCGCCAGAGUUGAGGUUCUCAACUUGUGUGGUGUGGUAGGGGCUCUUUAGGGGGCCGAAGGACCUUUCGCAGGGGCCUUAGACCAUCGGAAAACAUAGAUACUUACAUUACGAUUCCUAACAGCAAAUUUGCAGUUAUGAAAUAGCAACGGAAAUAGUUUUACGGUUGGGACGACCAAACAUGAGAAAUUGUAUUAGCAUUAGGAAGGUUGCGAACCACUGCUCUAGAGAAUCCCAAGAGCCAAAGCCUAGGAAGUGAGCGGGAAAAUGGGCAUUGGAAGGGGCUGGGUGAGGAAAGAACCCGGUAGUGCUUUGGAAGAUUACGAGAUGGUGUUAGGUUCAUUGUAUUUUUCUUGGGAGUCGGCCUGUUGGUAACUUGCAACGACGAAGACUCCAUUUCGAGUGCCUGGAAUAGAGCUUGCUUACAGCCCAGCGAGUCUCGAGUUAGCGCAGACAGGCUUUAAGCAAGUACAGAGAACACUGGAACAUUUACCGCUGAUUCACGCCGUCCUUGACCUCAAAGAGCGCUGACUCGGUUUCUGGGAGCGAUUUGUGAUAAAACUUGUGUAAUUAAUCAGCGAAGGGUCGAUACUCCACGCGGAGCAAAGCCUGGGUGCCCCAUUUCUGGCUACUCGGAUGAAAAUUUAGAAGUCCAGUUUCCUAAGUAGCUGCUUUUCACUUUGUGAAAUCAAGAUGUACGAGCUAUAAUCACCUUUAUCCCUAAGCCCAAGAAAUUACUAAGGCCCAUCCUUCAGUUUUCCAAACCAAGGAUGAGAGUCCUGGUCUUCCCAAAUUAUUCCUGACCUUUACAAAAUUAAAUUUGAGUCGGCCAUAGUGGCUGUAAUGCCAGCACUCGGGAGGUAGAAGUAGGAGGAUUGCUGCAAACUCAAGGUCACCCUCCUUCAAAAAUUCAAGGCCAGCCUGGAAUACCAUAGAAACUCUGUCUCUGCCACCACCUCCUCCACCUCCAACUCCGCUAAAACAAAACCAAACACAGGUUCC
rnacentral:lncRNA from 1 species